rnacentral:ncRNA from 2 species
ACAUAAUAAGAGCAGAUGAACUAUAGCUAGAUAUGGACGCCUUACGCUAUAGGGAUGCAGUGGCGUAACCGGCUGAAUUAUAA